AUUCAACUGACGAGUCCCAACUAGGAUGAAACGCUCAUCCUGUAU
rnacentral:hammerhead_ribozyme from 1 species